CUGAGGGUAUUAGUAGUAGAGUGCUUACCUAGAAUGUAUGAGGCUCUGGGUUCAAUUCCCAGCCCUGAAA
rnacentral:tRNA from 1 species